AUACCUUCUCGAAACAAAAGAUUUUCCUACCUGCUUAUACUUGGUAACCGAGGGAAUUUCUAAGACUUCUUGCUCAUUUCUGAGUAUUGUCUUUAUAUCCUGACACUAUGAAUGCUACUUGGAUGCCUCUUAAGGGUCUCUUCUGCAGGGUCCCCAUGAAUUGUGGCUGAAGUUGUGCACAAACAAGUAUCUCCAGUGACAGGAGUGCCUUCUGAGGCAGCCAUUGCAUCUUCAUCUGCUGACACUCUGCUAGGCUGACUUCUGUAGUUUUCACCACUGAUCUUCAGUCCACCUCACAGAGCUCUAUAAAACGCUUAAAUCCUCUUUACAUCAUAGACUUUCAGCUACUUGAAGAUAGCCAUCAGCCGCUACGUGACUCUUUUCUCCAGGCCCUUCUCCUUCUGGGGCUGAACCCCGUCUCUGCCUCCCUCCAGGACCAGCACUGCGAGAGCCUGUCCCUGGCCAGCAACAUCUCAGGACUGCAGUGCAACGCAUCCGUGGACCUCAUUGGCACCUGCUGGCCCCGCAGCCCUGCGGGGCAGCUAGUGGUUCGGCCCU
rnacentral:lncRNA from 10 species